rnacentral:lncRNA from 1 species
CUCCAUUACUGAAGAAAUACCUAGUUUAUGGGAUGAAGUGUUGCCUGGUUCUGAAAUGGAAAAGGAAGCCAAUUAAGAUUAUCAAGCUGAAUUAUGGGAUUGUGUCCUUAUCAGUGUGCUGCAGAUACCAGCUCUUACCUUCAUCUUCACUCUUGAUGCUGGUUCACACAGUGUGGACCAAGAAGCUACUAAGAAAUGGUUUCACUGUAGGGAAGCAGCACUCUUGGCACUCAGUAGCUUCCUCAUGACAAAAUGGCGGAGGGAUAACAGAAAUAGAAACCCCAGUAGUUUGCAGUUCCUGUGGAACUGAGAGACUCAGACAACAGUUAACAGUUCCCCAUGGAGAGGCAGGAGGGAGCUAAAUCACACCGUUUUUGUGUGAAAUAGUCACCCACAGUCACAGGGGACCUGCUUAACUCCCUCGGCAAACACUGGUAGCUUCCCCAGCCCUGUGUCCUCAAGAGUUUUAUGGGGGACAGUGUCCUUGAUCAGAUGUACUCAGGACACUUAUUUGAACUGGACAUGUGGUUAUUAAUUCCUGCAGUUCCUCUGGAGUCUUCGAGCCUGGGUGAGCUGUGAUUCUGUAAGACAGGAUCACACCCUGUGUACUUCCCAGCUCCCUUAGCCUUGGAACCGCAUCUUGAGGUUGUGGUCAGUGGCCUGACAACUUGAACCUUCUGACUGGGGGUGUUCUGGGGAUGCUCAGAGCUGCAUAGGCUGAAGGAAUGCUGCAUUUUGUACUCCCCACGUCUGGCAGGUUACUAAGACCCCUGGACCUCACAUUCCUAAUCUACAAAAUGGAAACAAUAAAUAUCACAUCCUAUGUUAUUCAGUUUUUAUGAGAAUUAAAAGGAAUAAUAUCUGUAGCUCAGUGGUGGAGCAUGUGCUUCCCCUGCAUGAGAUUCUGGGAGAAAAAGAAAAAAGAAAAAAAAAAGGGGGGGUGGAUUUCUACAUCCACGAAAAACCUGGUGUCAUAAUGUACUCCAUAAUGUCUCUUUUCACUUUGUUCUUCCUCAUGGAGCCUCAGUGGCCACCUGUCCUGCUGUCCUUUCUCUUGGACUCCUAAGCAGAAGGUUGUAGUAUAAUCAGGGAGAGGUCUAAAGGUGUGCUCCCUUUGAUCCUCAGAGCACUAGGUUUUCUCUAGAGGGCAAAGGCUGAGCAAUGUUAUCCCUCCUGAUGUCUGACCCUGGAGAAGGUCGAGGGUGUCACCCCUACCUCUGGGUCCUCAUUUGGACUCCUCGAGCACAAGCAUUUGAGUCUGUGCAGGAUGAAAACCAGGACGGGGAAGUGAGAGCAAUGGUGCCUCAGGUCCCCACUCAUAGCCCUUUGUCCUGGAAGCUGCCCAUGCAGUCCCAGCUUCCUGCAGGGCAGUCAGAGCGCAGGGCCUGUGGUUGUGGGGUGCAGGGAAUCCCCCUUCAUCUGCUCCUCACACUGACAGGCAUACUAUCAAAGACUGUGGGGGCUGUGUCAGUAGAGUAGGAAGCCAUCCCUGAGGGACCCCCUCUUGCCAAACACAGGAGAAUUCCACUAUCAAAAGGAAUAACUUAACUACUAAUGACUGAAACACUGACUUAGAUAAUUCUAUGAAUUCGUGUUCUUCAAGGAAAAACAAAAAAUUAGAAUGGAAGAGCUCAGAAUGGGAGAAAAGUUUUGAAAUCAUCUAUCUGAUAAGGGACUUGUAUCUAAAUACACAAGAAACCCUUACAAUUAAAUACAUCAGUUCGAAUAAUGAGCAAAGGAUCUGAAUAGAUAUUUAUCCAAAGGAGAUAAAAGGCCAACCAACAGACACAGGGAAAAAUGCUCAAUGCCUUUAGCCACCAGGGAAAUGAUAACCCAGAACAUAAGAUGCCCCUUCACUCCAUCCCGAAUGGUGGCCAUCCAGAGGAUGGAGCAAGCAGGUGCUGGUGAGGACGUGGACAGCAGGAACUGCUGGUGGCAGAGUGGAACUUCAGCAGUGCAAAGGAGUGCAGCUAUUCUGCCAAGGAGCCAACACCGUGUUGGCACGUGACUCACCCAUUCUACUCUUGGUCUGUACUCCAGAGAGAGGAAGAUGUAUGUCCACACAAAGACUUGUGUACAAGUGCUCAGAGCAGUAUCAUAAACAAGACCCCCAAAGUGAAAAGAAUGCAAAUACUGAAUCACUGAUGAAAAUCAAUAAACUAUAGAAACCCAUCAAGGGAGUGUUAUUUAGCCAUAAAAAAGAAAUGAAGUAUGUAUCUGAGCUACAAAGUAAUUGGUAAAAGAAGCCAGACACAAAGAACUGCAGAUUGCACACGCUAUUCAAGUGAGAUGCCCAGGGCAGGCAAAUGCAGAAAUAGGCAGGAACUGCUAGUGGGGUCUGCUUGCUUUUUGGUGUAGAGAAAAGUGUCUAACUCUGAUAACAGUGAUGGCUACACAACUCUGAAUAUGCUAGAAACCACUGAAUUUUACACUUAGGUUGAAUUUAUGGUAUUCAAAUUAUAUCUCAGUAAGGUUAUCUUUUAAAACUCAACAGUAAAAAAAAAAAAGUAAUGAUCCAACAACUUAAAACAGUAGAACCAAAAUCCCAGCAGAACCAGAAGACCCCAGCAGAACCAGAACUGAGGGCUCAUUUGUUAUAGGAGCAUCAGGGUGAAGUACUCAACCCACUUGCUGUGCUGGAGUACGGCUGAGUCCCAACAUGGCCAACAGAAAUGUAACAGAGUGUUGUAGUCAGCUUUUUUUGCUGCUGUGUCUAAAAGAUCUGACCAGAAACAUUUUAAAGGAGGAAAACUUUAUUUGAGGGCUCACAGUUUCAGAAGUCUUAGCCCCCAAACAGCAGUCUCCAUUCCUCAGGGCUCAAGGUGAGGCAGGACAUCAUGGCGGGAGAGUGUGGCAGGGGGAAGCAGCUCACACGGUGAUCAGCAAGCAGAGAGAAAGAGACUCCAGAUACAAAUAUAUACCACGCCCCAGGUCCCACCUCCUCCAGCCACACCCACCACUUCAGUUUCCACCCAGUUAAUCCCUAUUGUUGGGAAAAGGUAUAAUGGCAGCCACACCCCAAAACACCCCAACAUGGCGCCUGAGGAGCUUCUCUUCCUGCCUCUCCCUUUCCCGCUGGCAACAAAAACUCCUGCUGCCAAUGCUCACUCCAGCCGGCGGAAACCUUAGCCCCAAUAAGAACUGAUCUCGUGGGCUCCGGAACUGACAUCUGGAAGAACUUACCAAUAAACAGGUGACCCGUCAUUUACCUAAGCCCUGCCACCUCUCCUUAGAUCUAUGUAAGCCCACAGCCUUUUGUGAUAAAGUGGAACUUCUCCGGUGAUUUGUCAUGCGUCGCAUCUUCUUUCACCUAUCAGGGGAUUAAUUCACUGAUUGGGUUAAGACAUUCACAACCCAAUAAUUUGUCCUCUGAACCUUCUUGCAUUGUCUCAUAUGUGAGCUUUUGGGGGACAUAUCACAUCCAAACCAUCACACAGAAUCAUAUUAAAGCUGUAAGUUUUUAGUAGUCAUAUUUAAAAGGUAAAAAAGAGGGCCUGGGGGUGUAGCUCAGUUGUUGAACAUGUGUUUAGCCUGCAGGAGGCCCUGGGUUCCAUCAUACACCCAGUGGCUACACUAAAAUUAAAAACAACAACAACAACAACAAAAACCCAUUGGAGUUAAUUUUACUAACACAUUUUAUUUAAACUGAUAUUGAAGCCGAUUUAAAGGUAUGUAGUUAGUGUAGUUAGGUAAAUCAGGUCUAAUGUCAAGUACGAUAAAUAAAAUGGUGGCCAUUAUUGAGAAUGGAGUCCAGAAAAGCAGAGCAGCACUUGGGGAAAUUGAAAUGUUAAAGUCCCCAAGGCUUGGAAUCCACCCUAAGGAACUGUUAAAGAAGCAGCUCGCAGCAAACAGGGAGGUGCUAAUCCAAACCGGCUCCAGGCCCUUCCUGCCCAGGUUACUCCUUCAGCCCACCUAUCUCCCACCUUUGGGCCUCCCACCUGCAUUCUAUCACUUCAGGAUAAAGGGAAACAAAGGAUAAGAAUGUGGGAAAACUAAAAGAAGACCUUAGCUAUAAAAAAGGGAAGAUCUUGCCUUCCACGGAUUCAGCCUUUCAGUCUUCGGGUCCCCUUCUUCCUCUGGGAGAAGUCUUUUCUGCUGUCCUUUAAUAAAGCUCCCACUGUCCACUCUACUCUUGCCUCCUCAUGCUUCUCUGGUGUUG